CAGAUAGGACCCUGUGAACAGAUUUGCUAUUCCGCAUCCUGUUUACAUCCACCCUCCUGAGGUUCAGCUACCCAGAUGCUGCCAGGACAGCCGGGCACAGCGUGUGGUGCCGAAGGGGGCGUGUCAGCCGGAGCGGCUGGGCGGGCCCUGUGCGCGGGCCUUGGGAGGUUGUCUUGGGGAUGAAGGGAUGCCUCACUCAGCGCAAGCACAGUCAUUACUAGAGUACUUUGUGCAUAGGCCUAGUGCAAUCUUUCCAUCGUCAGGAGAACACUCACGACUUCCGCCCAUGCAGAACGUAUGGUGAUUCGGCCGGGGCAGAUCUGAGGUUUCUUGUUUGCCACUGCUUACGAGAAACGCACAUUCUAUUGUUCUCUUUAAGAUUGCAGGUGGCCGUGCCCCAAAAUGAGUAUGUGCCAACAAAGGAGAUUUACUGGACGACAGCACCCUAAAGUCCCAGGACAUCCUGCCUGGGGGUAUUCUUUCUCUGUGUGUCUGGCACUAUGAUGGUUGGAUGGAUCUGGUUGUGGCGGCAGUGGAAGGGAGACCCCAGUAAGGUGUUUUCAUGCUUCUUUGAAUGCACUUUAUAUGAAGCAACCAUAAAUUGUGAGGGAAAAUCAGUCUCUGCUAUGAAUGUUUGAGUAAAGGCUUCAGAGCAGGAAAAAAAAGAUAAAGGGUUCCUGUUAGGAUUGUCAAGCCCCACCCCAAGUGUCUCCUUUCCCUCCGGGUUUUCUGAGUUUACCGGGUGUCUUUAUGGUUUAUAAACCGCCUCACCCCCCGCCCCCCGCCAAGAGUGAAGGGAGCCCAUUUUCGAUUCCUGUGGUUAGUCUAAAAAGUUGAAAAUCUAAUUUAAUGCUCAGAACCCCAGAUAAUUUGGAGAAGUGCAGCUCGAGCUUGGCUUUGGGUGUGACAGACACAGGAGUCUGCCCCAUCCCAGGGAGUGGAGGGCCUGGGACAGCAGCAGGCAUCUGCUGUUUGCAGGUCUCCUGCUGGGCUCUCUGUGGGCUCUGGGGUGGGACACGGAGGGGAUAAAAACCAG
rnacentral:lncRNA from 1 species